rnacentral:rRNA from 1 species
UGGGGAAUUUUGCACAAUGGGGGAAACCCUGAUGCAGCGACGCCGCGUGUACGAUGAAGAUCUUCGGAUUGUAAAGUACUGUCCUUGGUGAAGAUAAUGACUGUAAUCAAGAAGCAAGCCCUGGCUAAAUACGUGCCAGCAGGCGCGGUAAUACGUAUGGGGCAAGCGUUGUCCGGAGUUAUUGGGCGUAAAGGGUACGUAGGCGGUUAUUUAAGUCUAAAUUAAAAGGCAUUGGCUCAACCAAUGUAAGGUUUAGAUACUGGGUAACUUGAGUAGAUGAUGGGAAAGUGGAAUUCCAUGUGUAGCGGAGAAAUGCGUAGAUAUAUGGAGGAACACCAAUGGCGAAGGCAACUUUCUGGAAUCAAACUGACGCUGAGGUACGAAGGCGUGGGGAGCAAACAGG